rnacentral:rRNA from 1 species
UUGCACGCUGGCGGCAGGCCUCACACAUGCAAGUCGAACGGUAACAGGAAGAAGCUUGCUUCUUUGCUGACGAGUGGCGGACGGGUGAGUAAUGUCUGGGAAACUGCCUGAUGGAGGGGGAUAACUACUGGAAACGGUAGCUAAUACCGCAUAAUGUCGCAAGACCAAAGAGGGGGACCUUCGGGCCUCUUGCCAUCGGAUGUGCCCAGAUGGGAUUAGCUAGUAGGUGGGGUAACGGCUCACCUAGGCGACGAUCCCUAGCUGGUCUGAGAGGACGACCAGCCACACUGGAACUGAGACACGGUCCAGACUCCUACGGGAGGCAGCAGUGGGGAAUAUUGCACAAUGGGCGCAAGCCUGAUGCAGCUAUGCCGCGUGUAUGAAGAAGGCCUUCGGGUUGUAAAGUACUUUCAGCGGGGAGGAAGGGAGUAAAGUUAAUACCUUUGCUCAUUGACGCUACCCGCAGAAGAAGCACCGGCUAACUCCGUG